GACGAACGCUGGCGGCGUGCUUAACACAUGCAAGUCGAACGGAAAGGCCCUGCCUUUGUGGGGUGCUCGAGUGGCGAACGGGUGAGUAACACGUGAGUAACCUGCCCUUGACUUUGGGAUAACUUCAGGAAACUGGGGCUAAUACCGGAUAGGAGCUCCUGCUGCAUGGUGGGGGUUGGAAAGUUUCGGCGGUUGGGGAUGGACUCGCGGCUUAUCAGCUUGUUGGUGGGGUAGUGGCUUACCAAGGCUUUGACGGGUGGCCGGCCUGAGAGGGUGACCGGCCACAUUGGGACUGAGAUACGGCCCAGACUCCUACGGGAGGCAGCAGUGGGGAAUAUUGCACAAUGGGCGGAAGCCUGAUGCAGCAACGCCGCGUGCGGGAUGACGGCCUUCGGGUUGUAAACCGCUUUCGCCUGUGACGAAGCGUGAGUGACGGUAAUGGGUAAAGAAGCACCGGCUAACUACGUG
rnacentral:rRNA from 1 species